AGAGUUGAUCCUGGCUAGGACGAACGCUGGCGGCACGCUUAACACAUGCAAGUCGAACGGAGUUAAUUGGAGCUGCUUGAUUAACUAGUGGCGGACGGGUGAGUAACACGUGAGCAACCUGCCUUUAAGAGUGGAAUAGCUUCUGGAAACGGAUGGUAAUACCGCAUAACAUUGCCGGACCGCAUGAUCUGGCAAUCAAAGAUUUAUCGCUUAAAGAUGGGCUCGCGUCUGAUUAGAUAGUUGGUGGGGUAACGGCCUACCAAGUCGACGAUCAGUAGCCGGACUGAGAGGUUGAACGGCCACAUUGGGACUGAGACACGGCCCAGACUCCUACGGGAGGCAGCAGUGGGGAAUAUUGCACAAUGGGCGGAAGCCCUGAUGCAGCGAUGCCGCGUGGAGGAAGUAAGGUUUCGGAUUGUAAACUCCUUUUAUCAGGGACGAUAAUGACGGUACCUGAAGAAAAAGCUCCGGCUAACUACGUGCCAGCCGCCGC
rnacentral:rRNA from 1 species